GGAGGCUGUUAAGGAAUAGCACGCUUUUGCACAUUCAGUUUAUUUGAUUGGGGAGAUAAAUAUAACUAACCUUAUGCCAUAAUUCAAUGAUGAUUGUUUCCCUUCAGAAAUAUAAGUCAUUGGGACUUUAGAAUCAUUGUUGUCAAAGGCGAAAAGCUUUAAAAAGUGAUCCAUGUCAAUUGGCGCUUUAAGCAAGAUUUAAGUGUGGGCUUUAGUAAAAAGAGGUGCGAUGAAUGAAAAAGAAAAAAAGAUAUAUGUAAUGCAAGAAAAAAGUAACAACUUCAUACAUGAUAUUGUCCUUAGCGAUUAAUAUAUUCUUUGCCUAUUAAUUUAUUGUUUAGUACCGCUUGAUUCAAGGUAGAAUUCAUGGGCAAUGAAGCACACUCUUUAGUGCCUUCCCUACAGUAAAGCACAGGUUAAGCAAGGUGAAGCAUCCUCCCUGAGCUUUUCUAAGCUUUGGGGCUUAAGUGCGCCUUAAACGAGCCCUUGACAGCAUUGUUUAGAAUCACAAAACUGUAUGUUCGUGAAUAUGUGCUGAAGGAGUUUCUAGUUCAGGCUCACUUGUUUCAGACAAAGUUAUAUGCUGACUUGGAAAACUCUGUAACCUGCAGUCUUAUCAACCUGGCUAUGCUGCUCCACCACCUCCUUCUCCUUCCGAAGAUAUUGCCAUCGACAUCAGGUUAGUUUAAAUCAUGAUUAUUGCUGCUCCAUCACCGCCUUCUCCUUCUGAAGAUAUUGCCAUUGACAUCAGGUUAGUUUAAAUCAUGAUUAUUGUCUUUGUGCAUACCAAAUUUGAUUUAUUUUUCCAAGCAUUUCUCUCAAUCUACGGAAUAGAGACAUUGAUCUUCUGAUUUUGGUGAUUACUUUUCAAAGUAUAACACUCUGACAGUUAACCCCACUCAAUCUUACUUUUGUUUGUGCUCACACCUUUCUCUUUGACUUGAUUAUUUGUAUAUUCUUUAUGAAUUGCUCCACUUAUUUAGAGGCCUCCUGAUACUGUAUUUCUCUCGAAGCUUAUAAUUUGUAAGUGAAGCUGUGAUUCUUCUUGAAUGCAAAAG
rnacentral:lncRNA from 1 species